CACUGGCCGCUUAAGGCCUGCCGUUGCAGCAGUUGGUCAAUGGGCUGUGUAGCGUAAGCUACCGCAACGUCAUUUCACAUUGACUGGCUUUCCGUCGGGUUACUUGGCGGAAAGCGAGAUUUAAGGUAACUGGUUUCUUGAAAGCCUGUUGGUCGGCGCGAUAGAAAUAAGAUUUCCAAAUAGACACAACUAAGUAUGUAGAACGCUUUGUAGAGGACUUUCGGACGCGGGUUCGAUUCCCGCCGCCUCCACCA
rnacentral:tmRNA from 1 species